GAAUGAAUGGUUUAACUAAAUACUCAUGUCUUAUUAUCAUAUUUCAAAUUUUAUAUUUUAGUAAAAAAGCUAAAAUUAACAUUAAAGACAAGAAGACCCUAUUAAGCUUUAUAAUUACAAUUUAAUAUCAACAUAAACUAAAAAUUAUUUUACUGGGGCAGUAAAUAAAAAAAAAUUUUAUUUUAAUAGUAUGAAUACAAUUCUCGAAAAAUCAAAAAAUUUUUAAAAAGGAAUAAGUUACUAUAGGGAUAACAGCAUUAUUUUCUUAAAGAGUUCUUAUCAUCAAGAAAGUUUGUGACCUCGAUGUUGGAUUAAGAUACCUUUUUCAUGCA
rnacentral:rRNA from 1 species